CCUGGUUGAUCCUGCCAGUGGUCAUAUGCUUGUCUCAAAGAUUAAGCCAUGCAUGUUUAAGCAGAAGCCGCACAAUGGUAAAGCCGCGAAUGGCUCAUUACAACAGCCGUCGUUUCUUGGAUCUCUAAUUUUACUUGGAUAACUGUGGUAAUUCUAGAGCUAAUACACGCACUAAAGCUCUGACCUUACGGGACGAGCGCAUUUAUUAGAACAAAACCAAUCGGGUUUCGGCCCGUGCGUUGGUGACUCUGAAUAACUCUGCCGAUCGCAUGGUCUCGCACCGGCGACGUAUCUUUCAAGUGUCUGCCUUAUCAACUUUCGAUGGUAGUUUAUGUGCCUACCAUGGUUGGGACGGGUAACGGAGAAUAAGGGUUCGACUCCGGAGAGGGAGCCUGAGAAACGGCUACCACAUCCAAGGAAGGCAGCAGGCGCGCAAAUUACCCACUCUCGGCACGAGGAGGUAGUGACGAAAAAUAACGAGAUGGAUCUCUUUGAGGCCCAUUAUCGGAAUGAGAACAAUUCAAAUCCUUUAACGAGGAUCUAGCGGAGGGCAAGUCUGGUGCCAGCAGCCGCGGUAAUUCCAGCUCCGCAGGUGUAUAUCUAUGCUGCUGCGGUUAAAAAGCUCGUAGUUGGAUCUGCGUGCUCGGAACUGGUUGGCUCACUGAGUUCAAACUGGUCUCCGGCGCUUUAUUUGCUGGUUUUCCCUUGAUGCUCUUAACCGGGUGUCUCGGGUGGCUAGCGUGUUUUACUUUGAAAAAAUUAGAGUGCUCAAUACAGGCGCAAAGCCUUGAAUAGUGGUGCAUGGAAUAAUAGAAUAGGACCUCGGCUCUAUUUUGUUGGUUUUCGGAACACGAGGUAAUGAUUAAUAGGGACAGACGGGGGCAUUCGUAUUGCGACGUUAGAGGUGAAAUUCUUGGAUCGUCGCAAGACGGACGACUGCGAAAGCAUUUGCCAAGAAUGUUUUCAUUAAUCAAGAACGAAAGUUAGAGGUUCGAAGGCGAUCAGAUACCGCCCUAGUUCUAACCGUAAACGAUGCCAACUAGCGAUUCGCAGGCGUUAAACAACGACCUUGCGGGCAGCUUCCCGGAAACGAAAGUGUUCCGGUUCCGGGGGAAGUAUGGUUGCAAAGCUGAAACUUAAAGGAAUUGACGGAAGGGCACCACCAGGAGUGGAGCCUGCGGCUUAAUUUGACCCAACACGGGAAAACUCACCCGGCCCGGACACCGUAAGGAUUGAC
rnacentral:rRNA from 1 species